rnacentral:rRNA from 1 species
GAGUUUGAUCCUGGCUCAGAUUGAACGCUGGCGGCAUGCCUUACACAUGCAAGUCGAACGGCAGCACGGGAGCUUGCUCCUGGUGGGCGAGUGGCGAACGGGUGAGUAAUGCAUCGGAACGUAUCCUGGAGUGGGGGAUAACGUAGCGAAAGUUACGCUAAUACCGCAUAUUCUGUGAGCAGGAAAGCGGGGGACCUUCGGGCCUCGCGCUCUUGGAGCGGCCGAUGUCGGAUUAGCUAGUUGGUGAGGUAAAGGCUCACCAAGGCGACGAUCCGUAGCAGGUCUGAGAGGAUGAUCUGCCACACUGGAACUGAGACACGGUCCAGACUCCUACGGGAGGCAGCAGUGGGAUUUGGACAAUGGGGCACCCUGAUCCAGCCAUGCCGCGUGAGUGAAGAAGGCC